AGAAAAGCGCUGCUGCCCGUACGGCAGUGCGCGAUGGUCGGGGUAGCGCCUGUGCUAGUAGCCGCUAGUGUCUUCGGUGGUUCCUCGCAUGUGUGUGUAAUGGUGAGCAGCGGCAAAGGAAACGACGACGAAGACGGCUGCUGUCCCGCCUCCGACGACAGCUAGCUUGUCCCGAUGUCAUGGCGGCUCGGCCCAUCUCCUCCCCGGUGCCUCGGCCUGCUGGCCGAGACGGGAUCUUCCGAAAGGAGCGGGAUCCCCCGUCCCCUUCCCCCUCCUCCUCCCGGCGCCUUACUGCCCGCUCGCUACCUGACGUGUGCCCCAAAGAGCCCACUGGUGAGGGGCGGGGCCUGUGCGACGAUCCCUCUGUGGUUUCGGAGCACGACCGCUGGACGGUGUACAGUUCCAAGGUCAACCUGCCAGCGGCACUCAACGACCCAAGGCUGGCCAAACGUGAGUCAGACUUCUUCACCAAGACCUGGGGUCUGGACUUCAGCGAGUCGGAGGUGAUGCCGUCCUUCUGCCUCGCCAACGUUACGCAGGAACACUUCAGCGUGUACCUGCAGGAGAGCGCACAGAGGGAAAGAAUCCACGAGCGAUGUAAGACUCUUUGUCCAGUCAAAGAUGACAUUGUGGAUGCCAUCUCCAGCAUUAGCACCACGCAAGAAAAGUCCAGAGCAGAAUUGGACCAAAUCCCCAAGAUGUUCCUGAAGCCUGACUUUGCCCUGGAAGAGCCGUCGACCUUCAAUGCUGUCCUGCCGUGGUCCCACUUCAACAGCGGUGGUGGGCGCAGCAGCCGUGACGUGGCGUCCUCCAAACUGCUGCAAGAGAAGCUGAGUCACUACCUAGACGUGGUGGAGGUUAGCAUCGCCCGGCAGAUCUCUCUGCGCUCGGAGGCUUUCUUCAACGCCAUGUCGUCGCAGCACGACCUGCAGGACCGUCUGAAGGAGACUCAAAAGGCCGUGGCCGUGCUGCGGCGCCGCACCGCUGCCAUCGACCGAGUCAUGUGCCAGGGCCCCCUGGCGGCUCUGCGUGCCGCCCUCACACGCAACAACUGCGUCAAGCUGCACAACAAGCUGAAGCUGAUGGCGGCCGUGCACCAGACUCAGCCCACCGUGCAGUUGCUGCUCUCAACCUCUGAGUUUGUGGGAGCCCUAGAGCUUAUCGCCACCACCAAGGAAGUUCUCCAGCAGGAGCUGCAAGGCAUCCAUAGCUUCAGACAUCUGGGCUCUCAGCUGUGUGAGCUGGAGAAGCUGAUUGACAAGAUGAUGGUGGAGGAUUUCAGCAUGUAUGCACGCAGUGAGCUCAACCGCAGCCUGAGGGACGACACACAGCUCCUGGAGAAGGAGCGUCUUCAGUCGCUGGUGUUUGGCCUGCUGCGCCAGAGGAAGCUGGACUUUUUGGACAUUUACGGUGACGAGAUGAUGGCAGCGGCCAAGGCCAUUGUGUCCCAGUGUGUCGCAGAACGGCUCCUGUCCAUCGAUGAUAUCGACACGGAAGUUGUCACCAAGUUGGCCGAGCAGAUGCGUCUGAUGACCUUCCCUCAGUGGUUUGAGCUCCUCAAGGACAUCUUUGACUGCUUCCUGCUUUUCUUCCAGAGGAUGAAGGCCACUGUCAGUGUCAUCCAGCUGGUGGUUCUAGAGGUUCUGGAGACCAACCAGAAGACUUCCUUGGUGGGUAAGUCCCACCUGGAGGACCGUCAGCCUAAUGAGUCACCCGGCUCGUACGGUGACGUCACCGAGUUGGCCUACCUCACACACGACGGCCCGUUCAUCAGCGACGCCCUCCGCAGUGCCCACCCCCACCAAGAUGGCGAUGUACACCAAGCCAGAGCCGGAACGCCGGACGGCGAGUUGGCGUCCAGGGAGCAGAACUUCAUGUCCGGUGACAUGAUGCCGUCUGACAUGGAGCUGAACCGUGUGCUGAACAACAUCCAGGAGCUUCUGCACGCCGCCUCCGACAUUAGCCAUGACCGCUGUGUCAAGGUUCUCACUGCCAGAGCCAAGGACGGCUCUCUGGAGCGCAUCAGCUCGGCUGAGUUUGUGGCCCUGUCGGUGGCAGUAGAGGCCUUCGUUAAGGACACGGAGGAGCUGUGCGGCAGGCGCAGUGUGUCUCUGCGUGGGGCGCUGCAGAGUCAGGCUGACCGCUUUGUCCACCGCUUCCACGAGGAGCGCAAGACCAAACUCAGUCUCCUGCUGGAUAAUGAGCGGUGGAAGCAGGCAGAGGUUCCCGCCGAGUUUCAGGAGCUGGUGGACUCCAUGGCGGACGGCGCCAUCACACUCUCACUACGCAAAGCAGCAGGUCCAGACGACAGGAAGCCGGGCGACUUCUUGCUGGUACAGGGGCACAAAUACGCCGUGGUGGGGACGGUGCUGCUGCUCAUCCGGAUCUUUCUGGAAUACUGCCAGUGCGUCAAUGACAUCCCGGCCAUAGCCACAGACAUGUUGACGCGGCUGGCUGACCUCCUCAAGCACUUCAACUCUCGCAGUUGUCAGCUGGUUCUUGGUGCAGGAGCCCUGCAGGUGGUCGGCCUCAAGACCAUCACCACCAAAAACCUCGCGUUAGCGUCGCGUUGCCUGCAGCUGGUGAUGUUUUACAUUCCCGUCAUCAGGCGACAUUUUGAGAGCAAACUGCAGCCCAAACACUUUAGCGUCCUCAGGCACUUUGACCACAUCACCAAGGACUACAAUGACCACGUGUCUGAGAUCUGGGCCAAGCUGGUGGCCAUCAUGGACAGCGUGUUUGAGAAGGUUCUGACAAAGUAUGAGGUGAAGGCCCCGAUGCCGUCGUCGUGUUUCCGUAACGUGUGUAAGCAAAUGGUCAAGAUGCACGAGGCCAUCAACGACCUCCUGCCCGCCGAGCAGACACUGAUGCUCUUUGUCAGGAUCAACAACAGCUUGAAGGCAAACCUGAAGCGGCAGCUGGCUCGACUCGGUGUUGUCAACGAUGGCGGGCCACAGCAUGGGCUGGUGGUGGUGGACGUGGCCUUCUACACAGAGAACGUGCAGGCCCUCAAGAACUUGGAGGCCUUCGAUCUCAACAUGGCCGAGAUCUGGGAGCACAAGAGGUGACCUCAGCCGCCACCAACGGCCAACGACGACCACAACAGCGCUGUUGGAGCCUUUAUAUCCUCGAUGUCCAGCUCAAGUUCCAUCAUGGCUCCGGCGGGGAUGUCGAUACGAUCGCCGUGGUUGGCGAUGAUGAUCACCGUUCCCUGCCGACACAAAUACCUACAUACAUCAUCAAGGUAUGUAUCGAAGUUUGGAUGUCAGUUGUCCAAAGGUUUACAAUUACCACAACAUCGCUACUUUUUUGUGUUAGCUUGUCAGUGGCAUUUUAUUAUAUGUUAGCAUUAAGGUUGCAGACUUUGAUUAGAUGAAAUUAUAUGAUUUGGUUAAACAUUUUAGUGGAAGGUAUAAAACUGUAAACCAAUGUUUCUCAAACUUUUGACCACCAAGUACCACUUCAAAAAAAAUCCUUGGUUUAUAAUGACCAACAUUAAAUUACAGUAGGUUAGUAGGACCAAGUGUUCAUGAAAAACAAAGUUUUAUUCCUAAAAAGUAUAUUUAAUAUUAUUGGAAGCCACUGUAACAACAUACAAAGUUUAAACAGCUUAAAAAGCAGGAAUAUAGGAAAGUGUUGCACACUUUGUAAAAGGGAAAUGGUUCGUACAUGUUUGGAAACAAACUGUUAUGCAUAUAUAUUGCACUUAAAAAUACAACUGUAACUGGAUUUAAAAAAGGUGACAUGCACAGUUUGAACAUUUAAGUCGAUUCAUUCAUGUAGCAGUAGAGGGCGGCUUCGAAGCACACUGAGAAUCACUGCUAUAAACUAUAUAUGGUUAUUUAUACAUCAGACAUGCAAACACCAAAGGCAUGAAAAAGGUGACACCCAAAAAAAAAAAUUUUUUUGGUCCGGUCUGGGGGGAUUCCCUGAGCCCCCGCAGAGAAUUUUUUUAUAUUUGAACAUAAAUUAAGCAAUCUGGAAGACUUCUAAACAGUCCAAUAAGGCAAAAAAAUAAUAAUAGUAAUAAUAAAUCUUCACGAAGAAUAACGCAUUUACACCGCUCAAAUACAUGUUGAUGUACAAAUUUAAGAUUAAAAUGAAAUUUGCCUCAUUUCUUUGCUUUUUUGUUUUGGCCUCCAACUUGAGCCAGGCCCAUCUCCACCUGCACCUGAUGCCUGCUUCAAGCUGCGCCACGUGAAUAGCAUCCUCCUCUUUAAGCAAUCUCAUUCUGGAAAAGAAUUGACUAAAAUCAUUGGCUGUUUCUCUUCAUUUUUCACUAUUACCAACUUCAAAGGCUUCAAAGGUUUUUAGCCACAGCAUGAACAUCAAUUGAAAAAAAAAAUCUAAAUAAAAUGUAAUGUACAAAUUCUGAUGUUACUGUGUGUGUAUGCACAGUCAAAAUAUAAUAAUAAUUGAUAAAAGUAGCGAGUGGCAUUUCGAUCAUUGUAACUUAGUAAAAGUACCGUAACCUAUUAACAGCAGAAGGAGCUGAAGUUUUUUUCUGGUCUCGUCAACUCUUGUGACUUCGAGCGCACAGGCAGAACCUCACGCCGCGUAUUAGUCCGCCGGGGAGUAAUAUUAAAAAUUACAUCUGUGUGUUGAUGGUGGAUGUGUGGAAUGGCUCUAGCUGCCAGCAUUGAAGGAGUAUGAAACAGCCUAUAAUGUCAGUGAUGGCGAUGGUGACAGCCCCCCCCCCCCCCCCCCCCCCCACAGAAAAAACUCAUCGGAUCUAUACAAUUUACGUAAAUGGCCUAUUUUGCCGAAAGGCGACUGAUUUGCAUGUAUGAUACAUAGCAGGUUUCCACAUAUCGCGGGUGGGUCUGAAACACAUCGCGUGAGUUCCACGUACCUUGAGUGAGACGUUCUUCCCGAAGGUGACGUCUCCUGCCACAGUGAGGUGGUCCAACUCCAGCAUGUCUGGGAUGCUGUCGAAGCGGGACAGGAACUCUUGGACCUGACAGCAAUGACCGAACACAAUGUUAGCGUAGCGUUGAAACUGCAUGUUGCUAAUGUGAAUGAAUGUAAGUACGUUUGAAUCCGAAGGUUAGCACGUCGUCACCGCCUGUCAUCGCAGUUGUCGUCAUCAAAGCAGUUCGUGCGUCUAUAUGUGUUUGAAUACUAACUAGAAAUAUUAACAUUGCUGCAUAUCCUAGCAAUAGCCGUGUUGGUUAUUGCAGUGUGUGUGCAUGUAUUACGAUAAAAGCAUGCUAACAACUACACCUUAAACGAUCGAUGAAUCGACAACUAAUCGAUUAUCAAAUUCUUCGACCACUAUUUUGAUAAUCGAUUAAUUGUUUAGAGACCUUGUUUAACUUUGUCCAAAUUUUCUGAUUUCAGCUUCUUAACAGUAAAUACUCCAGUUUCUGUCGUCUUUGGUGAAAGCAGAUCUUUGUGUUUAACCAAAACAAGACAUUUGCAAACAACUGCUUUUACUUUGGAAAAGAUCAACAUUUUUGCCUUUUUUCUGACUUGUUACAACUCAAACUAGGAACGGAAUAAUAAUUUCUGGAAAAGAGUCCGUGAAAUCUAUUAGAAAAAUAAUGGUUAUUUGCAGCUGUAGUAAGAAUGACAUUUAAAUGACAAGCAGCCUUCGAAGUGUACAUCAAUCCAGUAGCCCUUUGUUUGCAUGAAUCAAUAGCUAAAAAAUCAUCGUCGCUUCCAAAAAGGUUUGCGAGUACAACAUGACUCCCUUUCGCGUGAUAGCGUUUUACUUAUUUGGUUUUGUUUCAUCAUUAAAAAAAAUAGCAAAUAAUAAAAAAUAAUCAGUAAAUAAACAGUAAUUGGGGGGUGCUUUUGCAAUACACUUUAGUUGAAAAUGUUUAUUUAUUUAUAUUUAUUCGAUAGAAAAAGAUAAUUCCAAAAAUAUUGGAUAGUGUCAUAACAACUCUAAAAAGGCCCAACCUUGGCGAAGCAGCUGCCCAGCUUGACAUGCGGUGUGGUGGGGAACUCCCUUUUUUGGCUCAUGGUAAGCGAACCUGCGUCCAGGCUGUACAGGUUGGACAUGACCAGCAGCAGGUCCGCGGACGUCUUGACGGGCAGGAAUCGAGAACGCGGCACAUUGACGCCCAUAGCGUUACGGAAACUCUUGAUGGCUGCGCCCACCGCCGUCUCUAGCUGGAUCACGUUCAGACCGCCCUCCAGCGUCUGCGCACGCAGGCGCGCACACAUAAACACAUGCACGGCAGUAGGAAGUGACAUCACAGACUGGAGCGGGAAGUGAAACGUCGGCGUGAUGCGUAUGCGCGCAUGACCUUGUAGUUGACGAUGACGUCCAAGUCAAUGGCGUUGUUGUCGAGCAGCCUCUUGACGGCGCUUAGCGAGAUCCACAAGUUGUUGGUGUUGAAAAUCUUGAACUUGGUGACCGACUUGAACUCGUCCACGUGGGCUUUGGGAACCUGAGCGAUCUCCAGCAGCCUCAAGUGGUCCUCGUAUUGGAUCAGCGUGCCGCCCUUAAGUCCCACAUGGGUCAGUCAGACAACACUCACACCGACUCUCAUGCACACUAAAGCAUAUACCCUCAAACAGAUAAAGUACACACACACACACACACACACACGUGUGGCGCACCUUGACGUCGGCGCGUGUCUUGUCAGUGACCUCCAUGAUGAACUCGCAGCGCCUGUCUGGCGAUUGGUUGAUGAGCCUGCGGAGGAUGUGAAGGUCGACGGUGGCGCCCAGGUUGUCGAUGUUGGACACGAACACGUACUCCUUGCCCUCGUCCAGGAGGUGGUCCAGCAGGCCCGAGUUGGCUAAGCUGGCGUAGAUGUCGCCGUGACCCGGAGGGUACCACGCCUCUGCCGUGCUGUCUGCACUCACAUGCAAACUCUUGGCGAUGGGAAGCAGGGACUCCUUGUUGAUACGCGGGUACCUCCAUCCCCACGCACACAACACCUGUUCAGCGUCAAGUCGUGUGCUUGUGCUUGUGCGUGUGCGUGUGUGUGUGUGUGCGCGCACGCAUAGGCGUAGCUGCUCUGGGGUUAAAAGUGUGUCUGUUGUUUAUUAUGAAUGCGUGCAUUAGUGUACCUGCUCUGGUUGGAAGUGCGCAUGUCGUGUAGUGUGUGUACUCGCUCUGUGUGUGUGUAUACCUGCUCUGGUUAAAGGUGUGUAUCUUCAGUCGGUGAUGUUUGUACUUCUGAAGAAUCUUCUUGGUUUCUUGGUCCGUGUUGAAGGAAUUCAUCAAGAGCAGAGGAACGUCAGCAUCGUAUGUCUUGUUCAAAUGCUGAACAUAUCCACACAAGAAAAGGAGGAAGACAAAAUAAGGGGGAGAAUAUAAGAGGAAGGGAGGAGAAAAUGGAAAAAGGUGGAGGAAGAAGGAAAAAUGUUCAAGUGAAAAGGGAAGAAAGAAUAGAAAGGGGAAGAGACAGGAAGCAAAAGAAAGGUUGAAAAGAAACUUGACAAUUGAAGGGAACGAUAGGAGCAAGAAGAAGGGGAGGAGGAAGAAGUGAAAGAGGGAACAGGAAGAAGAGGAGGAGGAAGAAGGGGGCGUGGAGGAUGAGGAAGAGGAGGAGGACAUAGACAAGGAAGACAGGAGGAAACAGAAGAGGAAAACAAGAAAGUAGAAGAUGAUGACAGGAAGAAAUAAAUGAAAAAGAUGAAAAAGCAACAGAUAGACAAAAAGGAAGAAGGGGAAUACAAAUGAGAAAAAGGAAGAAACAAUAGGAAGAAUGAAGUAAAAGAGAAGGACGAAUGAAACAGAAGGAAGAGGAGGAGGUAUAAGAGGAAGAAGGAAGGAAAGAGGAAAUGGAAGAAAAAGAGGAAGUAGAAAAGACAGGAGUACACAGGAAGAGAAGUAUAACUAUUAAUAAAUAAUCAAAUAAAACGAGGAGGAGGAGGAAGUAGAGGGGAAAGACAGAAAGGAAUGAGGAGGAAGCAGAAAAAGAAGUGUUGAAGUGAGAGCACAUGUAGAAGAGGAGGAAGACGAGGAGGGCGGCGCGUAGGCGUAGUUGCCGUGGUUACCUCAAUCUGUUUGACGGUGAGGUCGAGGAAGGUGUUUUCGUUGCGUACGCUGAUGAGACUCUUGGGGCCUUUGCAUCCCAUGCUGGUGCCCAGGCCGCCAUUCAGCUUGACCACCGCCAACUUGUUGAGGCACGACGCCACAUCCCGCAGCUGGUGCUCGGCCCGGAUCUCCUCAUACGCCACGAUCUCCGCAACACAACAUCGCACCCGCUUUCGGUCACACAGGUCGUCAAGGCAACUGCCACAGCUUGCCAGUAAGGUGUUAUUUUUCUUUUAUGUAUCUGCCAAGGCAGCAGGCAGGGCGCCAUUUUGUGUGUCUUUGGCAUGUUACGGCGACCCAGCCCUGCCGCUGCCGUCCGUGUAGGUUUGGAUUUUUUUCCUCUCGCAUCAUCGUAAAAACCUUCAUUUAAAAACUGCAUUUUGUGUUUACUUGUGCUGUCUCUGACUAAUAUUUAAAUUCAUUUGAGGAUGGGAAACAAUUAAGUGUGACGAACAUGCAAAAAAAUAAGAACUCAGGAAGGGGUCAAACACUUUUUCACACCGCUGUACUUCGUUGUGCCCCUGGGAAUCACACCUGGAAUCGACUUUGUCCUCUUGGUGGCUGCUUUCACGGAAUCCGUUUUAUGGACACUCAUGCUGUCCCCGAUGAGCAAUGCCUUGUUUAUGCUUCGCCGUGAUGAGGGAACAUUUUCACAUGGCAUCUCAAUGGAGAGACGAAAUAAGAAAGAGACAGCAACAAUGGCAUACAUGGAAGAGUUCCAAGGCGAAAACCA